rnacentral:rRNA from 1 species
AACGAACGCUGGCGGCAGGCUUAACACAUGCAAGACGAACGCAUCCUUCGGGGUGAGUGGCAGACGGGUGAGUAACGCGUGGGAACGUGCCCUUCAGUUCGGGAUAACCCAGGGAAACUUGGGCUAAUACCGGAUACGUGCGAGAGCAGAAAGAUUUAUCGCUGAAGGAUCGGCCCGCGUCUGAUUAGCUAGUUGGUGAGGUAAUGGCUCACCAAGGCGACGAUCAGUAGCUGGUCUGAGAGGAUGAUCAGCCACACUGGGACUGAGACACGGCCCAGACUCCUACGGGAGGCAGCAGUGGGGAAUAUUGGACAAUGGGGGCAACCCUGAUCCAGCCAUGCCGCGUGAGUGAUGAAGGCCUUAGGGUUGUAAAGCUCUUUUACCCGGGACGAUAAUGACUGUACCGGGAGAAUAAGCCCCGGCUAACUUCGUGCCAGCCGCCGCGGUAA